ensembl:lncRNA
UGAAAGAUUAACGAAUCUCACGCUUUACCUCUCUCCUCCCCUCCCCCCCAAAAUCAGAAAGCCCACUUGGUUGUUUCCAGCACGCAUCUAUCAUUACACACUCCUGGGUCUCAGAGAGCGCCGACAAGAGCAGCCUAUGGAGUGUGGGGAAGGCAUGAGAGGAAACUGAGUCGCAACGGCUUUAAGAGGAUGUAACAAGGUGAGAUGGUCCCAAACUCUGCUUCUGCUGCAAAACAUUGCAACUCGAUGUUGUUUCAUUACCUUGUGGGGAAGGAG